rnacentral:tRNA from 1 species
CGGGGUGUAGCUCAGUUUGGCGAGAGCGCCUGCUUUGGGAGCAGGAGGUCGGCGGUUCAAAUCCGCCCACCCCGA